UUGGAAUUUUGAUAAAUCAUUGUUCGAUCGAUCUUCAAGAUGUGAAGGAUAUUAGAAAAUCUUUCGGCAAUCAAUCUUAGGGGUAUGUAACCUACUUGAAGGUUUUAUUUCCUAAAACUGUGGUAAAUUCAAGUUAGUAAUCGUUAAUGUAAUUUUGUUACAGCUCGUCCCAAAAUGUGCAUAAUUUAGCGUCUUAGAGCCUACCUAAAAUGGCGGCUGCUAAUCUUUUUCCUUCAAUUUAACAUAACUUGCAAAACCUAAUGUAACGUCAACCACCUCUUCGUCUUGCCACGCGGUCUGCAGGCGCCGUCGUUGGUAUAGGAAAUAAUGGACCCGGCAUAAACCCCGGUAAGUCAUUUAAUCGCUUCAUUGCCGUAAUUUAAAUCGCGCUGUGCCUCAGUUUAAAAUAUAAUUUUUCUAUAAAACUAAACGUGUUAAAACAUAAUUUUUUAACCUAGAACAUUUUCUUUGUUCUUAGGGUUUUUUUCUGGACCCUGGUUUUUUCCUGGACCCUGGUUUUUCUGGACCCUGGUUCUCUAAGGCUGUGCCAUCCGGUGGCAGCGUUCUUCUUGGCAGUGUCCGUGAAGUUAAGACUUUUAUGAAUAUACCUUUAGUUAAAUAUGGACUCUUUACGCUGAACAGGUAACCUGUAAUCCCUGUGAGCAAUUGCUUACUGCUAAACAUCCCCGGAGGUUGGGGCAUAACUUUUACUUUAGACAGUGUUAUGUUAGGAAGACAAAUUUUGAUAUUGUUGUCCGUAGACACAGAGAUGUCUAUGAUGUAUUUAGUGUAAAUUUCAAGAAAUAGUGGUGUCACUAAGAAGUAUUUAGUAUUACUUAUUUACUAAUAAAUAACUCGUGUUGACCGUAGCGGGUCAUAUAUAUUUAAGGAAUAAAGGUGUGUAUUAAAUAAA